CGUAUAUGAGUUGGUUAAGUUAAAGGGCUUCCACACAAGGCGGGACGUUUCCCUUUGAGCUGGUUUUAGAGGGGGAUGUUUCCGCCCCCACUCGGGAAAUUCGGACACCCGUUCCAAGAUUCCUUACCGGGAGGGCAGCCAGUGGGGAAAUAUUUGCCCAAAUGGGGGGCAAAGCCUUGAUGCAAGCCAUUGCCGGCGUGGUGAAGGAAAGGCCUUUCGGGGUUGUAAAAGCACUUUUCAGUCGGUGAGGAAAGGUUUUUGUAGUUAAUAGCUGCAUUGAUUUGACGUUAGCGACAGAAGAAGCACCGGCUAAUUCCGUGCCAGCAGCCGCGGUAAUACGGAGGGUGCGAGCGUUAAUCGGAAUUACUGGGCGUAAAGCGCAUGCAGGUGGUUUGUUAAGUCAGAUGUGAAAGCCCGGGGCUCAACCUCGGAAUAGCAUUUGAAACUGGCAGACUAGAGUACUGUAGAGGGGGGUAGAAUUUCAGGUGUAGCGGUGAAAUGCGUAGAGAUCUGAAGGAAUACCGGUGGCGAAGGCGGCCCCCUGGACAGAUACUGACACUCAGAUGCGAAAGCGUGGGGAGCAAACAGGAUUAGAUACCCUGGUAGUCCACGCCGUAAACGAUGUCUACUUGGAGGUUGUGGCCUUGAGCCGUGGCUUUCGGAGCUAACGCGUUAAGUAGACCGCCUGGGGAGUACGGUCGCAAGAUUAAAACUCAAAUGAAUUGACGGGGGCCCGCACAAGCGGUGGAGCAUGUGGUUUAAUUCGAUGCAACGCGAAGAACCUUACCUACUCUUGACAUCCAGAGAACUUUCCAGAGAUGGAUUGGUGCCUUCGGGAACUCUGAGACAGGUGCUGCAUGGCUGUCGUCAGCUCGUGUUGUGAAAUGUUGGGUUAAGUCCCGCAACGAGCGCAACCCUUAUCCUUGUUUGCCAGCGAGUAAUGUCGGGAACUCCAGGGAGACUGCCGGUGAUAAACCGGAGGAAGGUGGGGACGACGUCAAGUCAUCAUGGCCCUUACGAGUAGGGCUACACACGUGCUACAAUGGCGCAUACAGAGGGCGGCCAACUUGCGAAAGUGAGCGAAUCCCAAAAAGUGCGUCGUAGUCCGGAUUGGAGUCUGCAACUCGACUCCAUGAAGUCGGAAUCGCUAGUAAUCGUGGAUCAGAAUGCCACGGUGAAUACGUUCCCGGGCCUUGUACACACCGCCCGUCACACCAUGGGAGUGGGCUGCUAAAAGAAGUACGGUAGUCAACAUUUGGGAGCACGCUACCUAGAGUACUAUGAAGAUUAUCCUUCGCU
rnacentral:rRNA from 1 species